ACAUGCAGUCGAACGCUCCGCAAGGAGAGUGGCAGACGGGUGAGUAACGCGUGGGAAUCUACCUAGUUCUACGGAACAACAGUUGGAAACGACUGCUAAUACCGUAUACGCCCUACGGGGGAAAGAUUUAUCGGAAUUAGAUGAGCCCGCGUAAGAUUAGCUAGUUGGUGGGGUAAUGGCCUACCAAGGCGACGAUCUUUAGCUGGUCUGAGAGGAUGAUCAGCCACACUGGGACUGAGACACGGCCCAGACUCCUACGGGAGGCAGCAGUGGGGAAUAUUGGACAAUGGGCGCAAGCCUGAUCCAGCCAUGCCGCGUGAGUGAUGAAGGCCUUAGGGUUGUAAAGCUCUUUCAGUAGGGCAGAUAAUGACGGUACCUACAGAAGAAGCCCCGGCUAACUUCGUGCCAGCAGCCGCGGUAAUACGAAGGGGGCUAGCGUUGUUCGGAUUUACUGGGCGUAAAGCGCACGUAGGCGGAUUGGUCAGUUAGAGGUGAAAUCCCGAAGCUCAACUUCGGAACUGCCUUUAAUACUGCCAGUCUAGAGUCCGGAAGAGGUAAGUGGAACUCCUAGUGUAGAGGUGGAAUUCGUAGAUAUUAGGAAGAACACCAGUGGCGAAGGCGGCUUACUG
rnacentral:rRNA from 1 species